AGAAAGUGCUGAGUGCCCAAUUUGUUUGGAGAUGCACGCAGUUCUUACACCAUGCGCUCAUCGAAUGUGCCGUGAGUGCCUAUUUAAUAGCUGGCGUACUAGCGCCGGAGGUCCCUGUCCAAUAUCCGAGGCGUUCCUGUACGAAAUAGGAACUCAUAACUGUACCAACAAGUAAUCGGUUUCGAAUAAAUGUCGAGGAGCAGUGGAAGGAGUCGUCCAAAGUCGAGGCUCUGCUGCACCACCUCCAAACGUUAAGUGAGGCCGGGUCGAAAAGCGUUGAUUUUAAUCAGUGGACAGCGUUUCUCGACUUGUUAGAGAUACCAUUGAAAAGGAAGAACUUCUGUUUCGUCCGCUUGGACGGAACACUAUCGCAGCGUCAGCGAGAACAAGUGCUCAAAAGCUUCAGCAAUAUUCCAGCCGUGGCCGUCAUGCUCUCAUGCUUUUCUCAUGGUACGCGCUAUAGUUUUCUUUUUUAGCCAUCUUCCGAGUCGAGAAUGUGGACGAUCGAGCAUCGGUCAGACGAAGAACGUAUCGAUCAAGCGAUUCAUCGUCAAAGACUCGGUGGAGGAGAGAAUGCAACAGGUCCAAGCGAGGAAGCAGCGAUUGAUCGCGAGGGCUCUCACAGACGAAGAGGUGCGAAGCGCUCGAAUCGAGGAGCUCAAAAUGCUAUUUAGAUGAGAAGAAGCAUUUUAACUUAGUGUACAUAGUUAAAGAGGAGAAUAUGCUUCUAGCAUCGGCGCUUGGGUACAAGCACUUUUAGGUUUCUUCCUAUGGCGGACAGCGAAGGAGCAGGCGAUCGCGUCGCAAGCGGCGACGAGCAAGGCGAUCGCGUCGAUUCCUCUGGUCUCCGCGGCCGGGGCGGCUAGAAAGCCGGGGCGCAUUCUAGAGUUUCGGGGUUUCUGGGGCGAUCAGUCAUGUAGCGGGCAGUGAUUCUCUCACAGGGAGCUGGAAGUCAGCCAUGACGUGGAAUCCGCCACAAGUUCCUCCCAGCUUGUCCGCCUUGACUGCCACUACUCAGGCCGACGAUGAACUGGGCGUGGAUGUGUCGUCUCCCAGCGGCGAUUUGCUACUCCAAUUUCUCAAGAGUGGUGGGGGCGACGAGCAGCUGAGGAGCAGUAGCAGCUACAGGACCCAGCAGUCGCAGCUCACGGUCCCUGCCACAGCUUUGCUCCUUCUGGAGGAGGAGGAGAAGGUCCUCCUCCACGACCACUCUACGUCCCAGCAACAAGAUUUGGUGGGUGGUCACCUCACUUCCAGCGGCACCAAAACCCACUUUUCCCUUCGGAUCCAUUCUUGACUCCGUCGGACCACUGAUUUCGACGCUCGUUUGCUCCUCUUCCAGUCGAGAGACCGUUCCAUCCGCCAGUGCCGUAUCCUUCUCCAAAUGCUCCGACUUUCCAGCCUGCUGAUAAUGUGGUUCAUCCGCCGCAUUCCUCUGGGGAGCUUAAAGCUCGUCCUGGCCUUCACUUCGAGUCUCCGGUGUUUGGACCCAGCGCAGCAGAGACCUCGGACUCCAAGCGCGCCCCAGAGCAGCCGAGGAGAUCGGUUACACCUGCGAAGGAUGACAAGCAACAAUUCCACGGCAAUGGUUCCGAGCUCCUUCAGUUGUUACAGGGUGGUCCUGGUCGUGUGAAGCCCACAGCCUCCACAAAGGUGGAUGCUACACAGGACAGUGGGGAUUCUGGAGAGCCAUCAAAGAAAGGAAGUCCAUCUGCUGUUCACGGCCCCAUAGGACCGCCGAGGCGUCAUGUCGUUUCUCCUCCGCAGAGUCCAAAUGACCUCCUUGGACGUUUGUGGGCUGCUCUUCCGUCGUCAAGCCACACUUCGUUUGACGGAGAAAGCGAAUGCAAGACGUCAGCCCGGAGCUUUGGCGUUGAAGUGAACGAGAUGUCCCGGGAAGUCGAUGGAGGUGGAGCUGCUGGUUUCGCACUUUUGAAGCGAAGGGGAUCGGAGCCUGCCGCCUCGCACUACCUUUAAACGACUACGACUAUAACGACUCUUAAGACAAAUGAUAAGCCGAGGACAAACUCAGCAUCCGGAAGACUACAGGACUAUCGUGGGAGAUACGUAAAUGGAGAGGCCGAAUUUGAGCCCGGAGGCGAUGACUUUAGAGAUGCGGGAAGGCGUCGAGGUCCCGGUCGUGCAGACGCCAGACGCGGUGGUCGGGGUGCUGUUGGCCAGUGGAUUGCGGUAAGUGAGAGGCAUAAAGAUGCUGAGCCAAGUGACAUCACCUCCUGCGGUAUCUCUGAUGGAAGGGACGAGUCGCUUAAAUCUUGAAACGGGACUUAGUCGAAUGCUCGGAGAAAACAUCAACAGGAAUGGAGGAUAAAACAGGCCGACUCAAAGGCAGCAUUUCCAGCGGAGGAAAAACCGGACUACAAGGUUCCAAAGGCACGGUCUUUGGCAUCUCAACUUGAACGUCCAGGCUUGCCAUCGGGAAGUACGCAAAUCUCUUCCGUUGGUGCGGCUUUUGAGGAGUCCAAACAGCGGCUCCAUAAUCUAGAUGCUUUGGAAGGAGAAGGCGUGACGACCUCUCUAGAUCUCGAGGAGCUACAAAUUGACGGUCACCGUCGUGAGGGUAAAGCUCCACAGUUUACAAGCCGAAGGAGAACCGUUUCAGGGAGUCCAGACGCGUCAUUCCCAUGCACAGACGUGAUCUUCUUUACCGACUGGAUCUGCUGAGUUUCACUCGUGAGCUUUUCUGCCUCUACGACGAGCUUAUACCAACCGAAGAAGGGGAGGUCCGGAGAAGGAAGUUCUUCUCGAAGCUUAAGUCCCUUUUCGAGAGGGAGCUCCCGGGAACACGGCUCUUUCUUUUCGGAUCGUGUGUUAAUGCGUUUGGAGUUUGUAACAGUGACAUCGAUGUUUGCCUCUCCAUUGAUGAGGAAGAACCAAACAAGAUCGAAACUCAACGUGACUCAUGGGAUAGUUUCUUAUCCGAAUUCUUAGCCAUCCUCCGAUCCAGAGAACUUUCCUUUCAUUGUUCUUGGCAACAGGGUUGAUGUCGAUGGAGAGAACAGUAGAGUGGUUUCCGAGAAGAAAGCCAAGGCCUGGUGUGCUUCCAAGGGAAACAUUCUAUACUUUGAGGCGUCUGCCAAGGAAGACUACAACCUGGAGGCUGCGUUUCAAUGCAUUGCCAAGAAUGCCUUGAGGAGCGAACCCGAGGAAGACUUGUAACUUUUGCUUGUUUCUUCUUGUGAUGUUUCAAGCUCACAUUUAACUUCUGGCAGCAGCUAUCUUCCAGAGACAAUGGACAUUACAAAUAACAACAGAUGGCCAAGAUCGUCUGGCUGCGAGUGCUGAUCUACUACUACUGUCCCUCUAUCGAUGAGUGUUUUCGCUUUCAUUUUAUAUGUUUUUUUAAUUUCUUUUUAUUUUUACUCUCUCCUUUCGAUCGUUGGCCUUGGAUUUUUUCCCUUCUCAAUUUUUUUUUCUUUUUGCUACGAAAUAAUUUUUCUUCUUCGAUCUUGUAUCUAUUUACUACUAGUAGUGUGCAAAUUCUUGUGUUUGUGUAUUA